UCCACCUCCUGGGUUCAAGCGAUUCUCCUGCCUCAGCCUCCCAAGUAGCUGAGAUUACAGGCGUGUGCCACCAAACCUGGCUAAGUUUUGUAUUUUUAGUAGAGACGGGGUUUCACCAUGUUGGCUAGGCUGGUCUCAAACUCCUGACCUCAGGUGACCCACCCGCCUCAGCCUCCCAAAGUGCUGGGAUUACAGGUGUGAGCCACCACACCCAGCCUAUCAUUUCUAGAUGAGGAAAAUGACACCUGGGCCUAGGUCACAUGGCAAAUUAGUGGCAGAACCCAGAUCUCUGCACUCUGGCCAGUAAUCUUCCCAUUAACAAGAAAACUUUCUAUGUGGAUAAAGAUUAUGCAUAAAUAAUGCUCACUAGGGCAUUGUUUAUGAUGACAAAACACUGAAAAUAACCAAAACAUUAAAAAGCAAGAGAAAGGUUAAGUCAAUUAUGGUGCAUCCAUACAAUGGAAUAUUUAUGCAGACAUUAAUAUUACAUGUAUACAGCCUUUUUAAUUACAAAGAAAAGACUUAUAAUGAAAUAUUAAGACAAAAACUCUAGAUAAAAAUCUAUAACUAUUAAAGAAGAAAGUGAUAGAAAAGCAUCAAAAGAAAUAUGCCAAAUAGUAAGCAUCUCUGGAUAAUCGUUCAGAACAUGAAUGACUUUUUCUUUAAAUUUUAUGGUACUUCUAGAUUUCCAACCUUGGGACACUAUUGUCUUUGGAUGAACACACAGGGACAUGGCCUGCUCCACUUCAUGGCUUAGGAUGACGAAAAACAUCCCUGGUAAAGUUUAGCAGUCCACAGUUUGGAGAGUAAGAAGAACAACCCCCAUAUCAGCUGAUUUAAACAGCUUCCUGUCAAAGGUCAAACUCGACUGGCACAUUUCCUCAGCUUCACCACUUAACUGUCAGCAAGAAAAUAAAAACAAGCCACUGAUCGUGGUGAGAAGCAAGUCCUUUACAUCCAAAGACAAAAUGGUGCAGCCAUGAGCAAUGGGGCUAGAUGCCAAGUUAUCAAAUCAUCAAGAUAGGCAAAUCAUCAAAGAGACUGAAAAAGACAUGAACUCAAAGCCAAGGUAAUAGCAACAUCAAAAUGCAGAUCUUCCAUCAUUUCCAUAGGUGCCACGUAGCUAAGCGCAUUGAAUGGAUACUGAUUGCUAAGAAAGAAAAAAAAACCCUAAAUUGGGAGUUGGCAUUAUCUUGAUAUAUUAUGAAAGGAAAAUAAAAAUUCAUGACCCCAAUCCACUAUGCCAAAGGGAAAAAUCAAGCUGAAAGCUGAGUCAUCCAAGAAACUGCCUUUCCUUUUAUUCCUAAGCACAGUUAUAUAUGAAAGGUUAAAGAUCUCCACAGGUAGACACUCUAUGUCCACCUUUUUCUUUUCUUGCUCUGUCACUGCAGCCUUGACCUCCCAGGCCCAAGCGAUCCUGCCGCCUCAGCCUCCCAAGAAGUUGGGACUACAGGCGUGCGUCACCUCACCCAGCUAUUUUUUUUUUUUUUUUGAUAGAGAUGAGGUCUCACUGUGUUGCUGCCCAGGCUGGUCUCAAACUCCUGGGCUCCAGUAAUCCUCCUGCCUCAGCCACCCAAAGUGCUGGGAUCACAGUCAUGAGCACCCAGCUCAACAUACAUCUUAUCUUAUGAAAAGUGUUGAUUUACUGAGCACAAGAUGAAUGUGUAAUGGACUAUUCCCCUACCUGCUCCUUUUCUCUCUUGCAACAUAUGGAUUACCGUACCCUCCCUCUUUUCCAUUCAGCCACUUUUCCUUUAAAUACUCAAGUCCUCAAAGUCAUCUUUGGAGAAAGGCACAGACCACAGAUUUUUUCUGUGAUUCUGUGUUUAUUUGUUCUGGGUAUGUCUUUAACCUUGGCAAAAUAAACUCCUAAAUUGAUUGGGACCUGUAUCAGAUACUUUCUGGUUUACUAUAUAUAUAUAUGUA
rnacentral:lncRNA from 10 species